rnacentral:lncRNA from 1 species
UAAGAGCGCAAGUAUUUGUUAGAGAAUAAAGAUAUUGAGCGUGACCAAUAUGAGAAGUCACUUGGAUGUUUACUCACUCGUUAGUGAUAUUCUCGAUGCAAUAAUAGUGUGAAUGAUUCUUUAACCUGCGAUAUCUCGACUGUUCAUAAUGAGGUUGCUAUAGUUUGACUAUAUUAUAACUCGAUCUCCUAGUCAUAUGGAGCUUUGAGGUGUAUGUUGGCUGUGGUAGGUUCAUUGUAGGAAUAGGGUGUGUAUAUAGAUGGAAUCUAUCGAUUUUAGUAGAAAAAGAGAAGUCUUAUGCGAUUCACGAGAUUGAGUUCAGAAAGUUUUUGAUCA